GUGUGACUGCGUACCUUUUGUAUAAUGGGUCAGCGACUUAUAUUCUGUAGCAAGGUUAACCGAAUAGGGGAGCCGAAGGGAAACCGAGUCUUAACUGGGCGUUAAGUUGCAGGGUAUAGACCCGAAACCCGGUGAUCUAGCCAUGGGCAGGUUGAAGGUUGGGUAACACUAACUGGAGGACCGAACCGACUAAUGUUGAAAAAUUAGCGGAUGACUUGUGGCUGGGGGUGAAAGGCCAAUCAAACCGGGAGAUAGCUGGUUCUCCCCGAAAGCUAUUUAGGUAGCGCCUCGUGAAUUCAUCUCCGGGGGUAGAGCACUGUUUCGGCAAGGGGGUCAUCCCGACUUACCAACCCGAUGCAAACUGCGAAUACCGGAGAAUGUUAUCACGGGAGACACACGGCGGGUGCUAACGUCCGUCGUGAAGAGGGAAACAACCCAGACCGCCAGCUAAGGUCCCAAAGUCAUGGUUAAGUGGGAAACGAUGUGGGAAGGCCCAGACAGCCAGGAUGUUGGCUUAGAAGCAGCCAUCAUUUAAAGAAAGCGUAAUAGCUCACUGGUCGAGUCGGCCUGCGCGGAAGAUGUAACGGGGCUAAACCAUGCACCGAAGCUGCGGCAGCGACGCUUAUGCGUUGUUGGGUAGGGGAGCGUUCUGUAAGCCUGUGAAGGUGUACUGUGAGGUAUGCUGGAGGUAUCAGAAGUGCGAAUGCUGACAUAAGUAACGAUAAAGCGGGUGAAAAGCCCGCUCGCCGGAAGACCAAGGGUUCCUGUCCAACGUUAAUCGGGGCAGGGUGAGUCGACCCCUAAGGCGAGGCCGAAAGGCGUAGUCGAUGGGAAACAGGUUAAUAUUCCUGUACUUGGUGUUACUGCGAAGGGGGGACGGAGAAGGCUAUGUUGGCCGGGCGACGGUUGUCCCGGUUUAAGCGUGUAGGCUGGUUUUCCAGGCAAAUCCGGAAAAUCAAGGCUGAGGCGUGAUGACGAGGCACUACGGUGCUGAAGCAACAAAUGCCCUGCUUCCAGGAAAAGCCUCUAAGCAUCAGGUAACAUCAAAUCGUACCCCAAACCGACACAGGUGGUCAGGUAGAGAAUACCAAGGCGCUUGAGAGAACUCGGGUGAAGGAACUAGGCAAAAUGGUGCCGUAACUUCGGGAGAAGGCACGCUGAUAUGUAGGUGAAG
rnacentral:rRNA from 1 species